rnacentral:rRNA from 1 species
UGGCUUAACCAUAGUUGGCAUUUGAAACUGUAUUACUUGAGUGCAGGAGAGGUAAGUGGAAUUCCUAGUGUAGCGGUGAAAUGCGUAGAUAUUAGGAGGAACACCAGUGGCGAAGGCGACUUACUGGACUGUAACUGACGCUGAGUCACGAAAGCGUGGGUAGCAAACAGGAUUAGAUACCCUGGUAGUCCACGCUGUAAACGAUGAGUGCUAGGUGUUGGGUAGCGAUAUUCAGUGCCGAAGUUAACACAAUAAGCACUCCGCCUGGGGAGUACGGUCGCAAGACUGAAACUCAAAGGAAUUGACGGGGACCCGCACAAGCAGCGGAGCAUGUGGUUUAAUUCGAAGCAACGCGAAGAACCUUACCAAGGCUUGACAUCCCCUUGACCGGCACAGAGAUGUGCCCUCUCCUUCGGGAGCAAGGGUGACAGGUGGUGCAUGGUUGUCGUCAGCUCGUGUCGUGAGAUGUUGGGUUAAGUCCCGCAACGAGCGCAACCCUUAUCCUUAGUUGCCAGCAGGUUAAGCUGGGCACUCUAAGGAGACUGCCGAUGAUAAAUCGGAGGAAGGUGGGGAUGACGUCAAAUCAUCAUGCCCCUUAUGUCUUGGGCUACACACGUGCUACAAUGGUCGGUACAAAGGGCAGCGAAGGAGUGAUCUGGAGCGAAUCCCAAUAAGCCGAUCCCAGUUCGGAUUGUAGGCUGCAACUCGCCUACAUGAAGUCGGAGUUGCUAGUAAUCGCGAAUCAGAACGUCGCGGUGAAUGCGUU